rnacentral:rRNA from 1 species
UUGAGAGUUUGAUCCUGGCUCAGAACGAACGCUGGCGGCAGGUCUUAGGCAUGCAAGUCGAACGGAUGACAAGAGAGCUUGCUCUCUUGAAGUCAGUGGCGCACGAGUGAGUAACGCGUGGGAAACUGCCCUUCACUGGGGAAUAACGUCUGGAAACGGACGCUAAUACCGCAUACGCCCGCAAGGGGAAAGAUUUAUCGGUGAUGGAUGUGCCCGCGUUGGAUUAGCUUGUUGGUGGGGUAAUGGCCUACCAAGGCGAUGAUCCAUAGCUGGUCUGAGAGGACGAUCAGCCACGCUGGAACUGAGACACGGUCCAGACUCCUACGGGAGGCAGCAGCUAAGAAUAUUGGGCAAUGGAGGAAACUCUGACCCAGCCAUGCCGCGUGAAUGAAGAAGGCCUUCGGGUUGUAAAGUUCUUUUAGUCAUGAAGAUGAUGACAGUAGUGACAGAAAAAGCACCGGCUAACUUCGUGCCAGCAGCCGCGGUAAUACGAAGGGUGCAAGCGUUGUUCGGAUUUACUGGGCGUAAAGCGUCCGUAGGUGGUUUGUUAAGUCAGGGGUGAAAUCCCAGGGCCCAACCCUGGAACUGCCUUUGAUACUGGCAAGCUGGAGCGCGAUAGAGGAAGAUGGAAUAUCUGGUGUAGGGGUGAAAUCCGUAGAUAUCAGAUAGAACACCAAUGGCGAAGGCAGUCUUCUGGAUCGUCGCUGACACUGAGGGACGAAAGCGUGGGUAGCAAACAGAAUUAGAUACUCUGGUAGUCCACGCCCUAAACGAUGCAUGCUUGUUGUUGGUUUCCUUCGGGGGAUCAGUGACGUAGCUAACGCGUUAAGCAUGCCGCCUGGGGACUACGAUCGCAAGAUUAAAACUUAAAGGAAUUGACGGGGACCCGCACAAGCAGUGGAGUAUGUUGUUUAAUUCGAUGCUACGCGAGAAACCUUACCGACCCUUGACAUCUUGGUCGCGACUUCCAGAGAUGGUUGUCUUCAAUUCGGUUGGACCAAAGACAGAUGCUGCAUGGCUGUCGUCAGCUCGUGUCGUGAGAUGUUAGGUUAAGUCCUGCAACGAGCGCAACCCACGCCCUAUGUUGCCAGCGGGUAAUGCCGGGAACUCUUAGGGGACUGCCCGCGUCAAGCGGGAGGAAGGUGUGGAUGACGUCAAGUCAUCAUGGUUCUUACGGGUCGGGCUACAAACGUACUACAAUGG